rnacentral:rRNA from 1 species
UACGUAGGCAGCGAGCGUUGUUCGGAGUUACUGGGCGUAAAGAGUGCGUAGGCGGUUUUCUAAGUUUGGUGUGAAAUCUCCCGGCUCAACUGGGAGGGUGCGCCGAAGACUGGAAGGCUUGAGUAUGGGAGAGGUAAGCGGAAUUCCUGGUGUAGCGGUGAAAUGCGUAGAUAUCAGGAGGAACACCUGCGGUGUAGACGGCUUACUGGACCAUAACUGACGCUGAGGCAUGAAAGCGUGGGGAGCAAACAGG